rnacentral:rRNA from 1 species
GGUGAACGCUAGCUACAGGCUUAACACAUGCAAGUCGAGGGGCAGCAUGGAAGAAGCUUGCUUCUUCUGAUGGCGACCGGCGCACGGGUGCGUAACGCGUAUCAAACCUGCCUCAUACUCGGGGAUAGCCUUGCGAAAGUAAGAUUAAUACCCGAUGUUGUUAUGUUGCCGCAUGGUGAUAUAACCAAAGAUUUAUCGGUAUGAGAUGGUGAUGCGUCCGAUUAGGUAGUAGGCGGGGUAACGGCCCACCUAGCCUUCGAUCGGUAGGGGUUCUGAGAGGAAGGUCCCCCACACUGGAACUGAGACACGGUCCAGACUCCUACGGGAGGCAGCAGUGAGGAAUAUUGGUCAAUGGACGCAAGUCUGAACCAGCCAAGUAGCGUGCAGGAUGACGGCCCUCUGGGUUGUAAACUGCUUUUAGUUGGGAAUAAAAAAGAGGACGUGUCCUCUAUUGUAUGUACCUUCAGAAAAAGGACCGGCUAAUUCCGUGCCAGCAGCCGCGGUAAUACGGAAGGUCCAGGCGUUAUCCGGAUUUAUUGGGUUUAAAGGGAGCGUAGGCGGAUUAUUAAGUCAGUGGUGAAAGACGGUGGCUCAACCAUCGUUAGCCAUUGAAACUGGUAGUCUUGAGUGCAGACAGGGAUGCUGGAACUCGUGGUGUAGCGGUGAAAUGCUUAGAUAUCACGAUGAACUCCGAUCGCGAAGGCAGGUGUCCGGGCUGCAACUGACGCUGAGGCUCGAAAGUGUGGGUAUCAAACAGG